rnacentral:rRNA from 1 species
GACGAACGCUGGCGGCGUGCUUAACACAUGCAAGUCGAACGGAAAGGCCCUGCUUUUGUGGGGUGCUCGAGUGGCGAACGGGUGAGUAACACGAGAGUAACCUGCCCUUGACUUUGGGAUAACUUCAGGAAACUGGGGCUAAUACCGGAUAGGAUCUCCUGCUGCAUGGUGGGGGUUGGAAAGUUUCGGCGGUGGGGGAUGGACUCGCGGCUUAUCAGCUUGUUGGUGGGGUAGUGGCUUACCAAGGCUUUGACGGGUAGCCGGCCUGAGAGGGUUACCGGCCACAUUGGGCCUGAGAUACGGCCCAGACUCCUACGGGAGGCAGCAGUGGGGAAUAUUGCACAAUGGGCGGGAGCCUGAUGCAGCAACGCCGCGUGCGGGAUGACGGCCUUCGGGUUGUAAACCGCUUUCGCCUGUGACGAAGCGUGAGUGACGGUAAUGGGUCAAGAAGCACCGGCUAACUACGUG